GAUGAACGCUAGCGGCAGGCUUAAUACAUGCAAGUCGUGGGGCAGCAUGGGUAGCAAUACUCUGAUGGCGACCGGCAAACGGGUGCGGAACACGUACGCAACCUUCCUUUAACUGGAGAAUAGCCCCUGAAAGAGGGAUUAAUACUCCGUAAUAUCCCGAUAUGGCAUCAUGACGGGAUUAUAGCUCCGGCGGUUAGAGAUGGGCGUGCGCCUGA
rnacentral:rRNA from 1 species